UACGUAGGGUGCAAGCGUUAAUCGGAAUUACUGGGCGUAAAGCGUGCGCAGGCGGUUUUGUAAGUCUGUCGUGAAAUCCCCGGGCUCAACCUGGGAAUGGCGAUGGAGACUGCAAGGCUAGAGUUUGGCAGAGGGGGGUAGAAUUCCACGUGUAGCAGUGAAAUGCGUAGAGAUGUGGAGGAACACCGAUGGCGAAGGCAGCCCCCUGGGUCAAGACUGACGCUCAUGCACGAAAGCGUGGGGAGCAAACAGG
rnacentral:rRNA from 2 species